rnacentral:rRNA from 1 species
UGGGGAAUCUUGCGCAAUGGGCGAAAGCCUGACGCAGCGACGCCGCGUGAGUGAUGAAGGCCUUCGGGUUGUAAAGCUCUGUGGAGGGGGACGAAUAAGUCGUGGCGAACAGCCCCGAUGAUGACGGUACCCCUUUAGCAAGCACCGGCUAACUCUGUGCCAGCAGCCGCGGUAAGACAGAGGGUGCAAACGUUGUUCGGAAUUACUGGGCGUAAAGCGCGUGUAGGCGGCUCGUAAAGUCGGAUGUGAAAGCCCUGGGCUCAACCCAGGAAGUGCACCCGAAACUCACGAGCUUGAGUCCUGGAGAGGAAAGCGGAAUUCUCGGUGUAGAGGUGAAAUUCGUAGAUAUCGAGAGGAACACCGGUGGCGAAGGCGGCUUUCUGGACAGUGACUGACGCUG